rnacentral:lncRNA from 1 species
AUGCCUGGGGACAACAGCACCCAGAACCACAGACCCAGAUCUCAUGGGCACCCAGCACCCACAGACUCUGGUCCCUCGGGCACCCAGGACCCCUGCGCCUGGGGACCAAAGGACCCGGGACCCACAGACCCAGGUCCCACAGGCACUCAGGAGCCACAUGUCUGGGGACAACAGCACCCAGGACCCACAGACCUGGGUCCCAUGGGCACCCAAGACCCACAAACCCGGGGACAACAGCACUCAGGACCCACAGACCAAGGUCCCUCAGGCACCCAGGACCCUCGUGUCUGGGGACAACAGCACCCAGAACCCACAGAUCCAGGUCUCACGGGCACCCAGGACCCACAGACCCAAGUCCCAUGGGCACCCAGGGCUGAGAGGCAGUGGACACCCACACGCCUUGGGGACCAGCACCCAAGGCAGGCAGGCACCCAGGACUCACGCACCCAGAACCGAUGGGACCCCCAGGACCCCCAAGUCCAGGUCUCACAGGCACCCAGGAGCCACUGCUUGGGGGACCAACACCCAGGACCCAUACACCCAGGACAGAUGGGCACCCAGGACCCAUACGCUUGCGGGGACCAGCACCCAGGACCCACACAUCCAGGACCAACAGACACUGGGGACCCACAUACUCAAGGCCAAUGGGGCACCCAGGACCCACACACCAGGGGGGAUCAGCACCCAGGACCCCUACACCCCAGAGAGAGAGCACCCAGGGCUGACUGGCACCCAGGACCCACAUGGCUGGGGGGAACGGCACCCAGGACCCACGUGCCCAGGGCCACGUGGGGCAGGCACAGGCAGGCCGUGGGGCUGCUGGGGUGGCAGUGGGGGAUCCGGGGCACAAGUAGGUGCCCCCACUCGUUGUUGUCCCCAGCCCCAUGGCCGGCACCCGCCGCAUGGUCCCAACCCCACAGCCAGCACCUACCCCAUAGCUCCCAGCCCCAUAGACAGCACCCACCCCAGGGCUCCCAGCCCCACAGCCGCGUGGCCAGCACCCAUCCCACGGUCCCAGCCCCACAGCCAGCACCCACCCCAUGGCCCCCCCAUCCCACAACCAGCCCCCUCCCCACAUGCCUCCAGCCCCGCAGCUCCAUCCCCACGGCUGGGGCCAAGCAAAGAGGCAGCGCCGAGCCGGGGCAUUGCCGUGGGGCCGGCAGGGCCCGGCACACCGGGAUGCCCCCCAGCCCCGCGGAGCCGGGAACACCGAGCUCCAUGUCCCGGUCACCGGGCGGGCCCAGCGCGGCACCGGACCGGGGCGGGCCCGGGCGUGGCCCCCCCGCUGCCCCCCCCCGGUUCCCCCCGUCCGCCGCUACCGGUCCGGACCCGCCGGAGCGCGCCGACCACGUGCGGGCGGGGGGCGGAGUCCGCGCCAGCACGCCCCGCCCCUUAACGCCGCUCGCGCUGCGUCGGGGGCGGGGCCUCGCGGCUCGGCGGGCGAGGAUUGGUGGCUGGGAGGGUGCGUUUGCAUGA